GACGAACGCUGGCGGCGUGCCUAAUACAUGCCAGUUGAGCGAUGAAGCUUGGUGCUUGCACCAAUUUGAAGAGCAGCGAACGGGUGAGUAACGCGUGGGGAAUCUGCCUUUGAGCGGGGGACAACAUUUGGAAACGAAUGCUAAUACCGCAUAACAACUUUAAACAUAAGUUUUAAGUUUGAAAGAUGCAAUUGCAUCACUCAAAGAUGAUCCCGCGUUGUAUUAGCUAGUUGGUGAGGUAAAGGCUCACCAAGGCGAUGAUACAUAGCCGACCUGAGAGGGGGAUCGGCCACAUUGGGACUGAGACACGGCCCAAACUCCUACGGGAGGCAGCAGUAGGGAAUCUUCGGCAAUGGACGAAAGUCUGACCGAGCAACGCCGCGUGAGUGAAGAAGGUUUUCGGAUCGUAAAACUCUGUUGGUAGAGAAGAACGUUGGUGAGAGUGGAAAGCUCAUCAAGUGACGGUAACUACCCAGAAAGGGACGGCUAACUACGUG
rnacentral:rRNA from 1 species